rnacentral:tRNA from 1 species
GCGGUCGUCGUCCAGUCUGGUUAAGACACUAGCUUGCCAAGUUAGCAACCCGGGUUCAAAUCCCGGCGACCGCACCA